GCCUCUGUCUUUCCCCUUGUCCUCUGUCGGGUUGUCUGUUUUUCAAGCCUUGUUCCAUGUUGCGGUUCUUGCUGUGUUCCAUGUUGCUGUUUUUCCUGAGUCUAGAGCUGUCCUUGCUGCUUACCUGUUUGCUGGGGAACUCUUUGGCAGCCUCCACUACUGUCGCACAUGCCCGGUGGUCCAACUUCGCCUGGCUGCCCAGGAUGACCAGGGAUCCCGUCUGGUCCUGGUUUACCAUCAUCUCCUUUGGAACCUAGGACUCCCAGCUUGGACUCACCUAGAGGCCCUCAUCCACAAUCUGAGCCCCAGCUUGCAAUACACGAGCGGGUACGAAAAAAAACACCCAUGAAGAGAUACCUGCAAAUCCUUUGAGCCCUGUGGGCCCCUGGACAUUGGUCCCUGCAUCACCUUUCCCUCCAGGUAUACCU